UAAACUGAACUAUUUACAACGGAAACUAGAAGAAUACAAAAACAGUGCGGUGGGUGUGAAAUCACCGCUUUCGCGUUGCCGUGUUUCUUUCUGAAUAAAAACGUUGAUCAGCUGCCACGUCAUCACCAACGACUUUUCAAAACGAGUUCCACUCAAAAAAAUCAGACAAGACAACUAAAGUACUAUUUCUUCUACUUUCCCCCUGGGACUUAAAACACUAUAUAACUGGACCCCACAUGUAUUACACUUGUCAUCCGCCGCGUCAACAUCCUCCACCACCCAACAAAUCCGCUCUUCUACCAGAUGCGAAACGCGUCAUCCCACCCAAACCGGGUACCACCGGUUCUCCGCCGUCGAAUACCGACUUCUCAUCAGCUUCCGCAGGAAGUCGGCUCCUGAUGUCGUGUGUGUUUCUCGUCGACGUGUGAGUCUCACGCGCUGACACGUCUUUGCAGCCGCCUUUGAUCCUGAAAAUAGCUCUGAAACUCGCCAUAAACCCGGGUUUCUUAACCCGGUUUACCGGUUCGACCCGACUUGAUUUUUGACGGUGCAUACGGCGGCUGCGUUCUCUUCUGGAUCUCACUCUACCGAUGCAAGAGACUUUAGGAGAAGAAGGUUCCAGAAGCGAAAUAUCCGUCUUUAUCCUUGACCCGACCCGUUUCAAGAUGACCCGGUUCUUGCCCGCGUGUCUCCGUUGCUUUGCCUCGUUGAAACACGUUUUCUGCGGUUUAGGCAAACCGAUGAUCGACGCUUUGGAUUUUAGUAAGAACCGUUGCGAGCUUGGAUUCGAGUUGGGAUUAGAAUUGAGAAUCCCAGAGUUUCCUUUUUGUGAGUCUUUACGAUC